UAGGGAAUCUUCCACAAUGGGCGAAAGCCUGAUGGAGCACCGCCGCGUGUGUGAUGAAGGGUUUCGGCUCGUAAAACACUGUUGUAAGAGAAGAAUGACAUUGAGAGUAACUGUUCAAUGUGUGACGGUAUCUUACCAGAAAGGAACGGCUAAAUACGUGCCAG
rnacentral:rRNA from 1 species